rnacentral:rRNA from 1 species
CAAGACCUCGCGCUAUUGGAUGAGCCAAAGUCGGAUUAGCUAGUUGGUGGGGUAAUGGCCUACCAAGGCGACAAUCCGUAGCUGGUCUGAGAGGACGACCAGCCACACCGGAACUGAGACACGGUCCGGACUCCUACGGGAGGCAGCAGUGGGGAAUAUUGGAUAAUGGGGGAAACCCUGAUCCAGCGACGCCGCGUGUGUGAAGAAGGCCUGCGGGUUGUAAAGCACUUUUAGUGGGGACAAAAAGCCAUUGAUUAAUACUUGGUGGUCUUGAUUUAACCCAAAGAAAAAGCACCGGCUAACUCUGUGCCAGCAGCCGCGGUAAUACAGAGGGUGCGAGCGUUAAUCGGAAUUACUGGGCGUAAAGCGCGCGUAGACGGUUUUGUAAGUCAGAUGUGAAAUCCCCGGGCUCAACCUGGGAACU